AUCCAGCAGGAGCAUAGGACACAGGAGGAGUCUCACACACUUGUGGUUUUCUUGAGACCUGGAACCUGUCAGCGGUCAUCUGAUAGAUAGCUGGUGGCUGGAUAUGCUGGGGCAGUGCGAUCCAGUCAUGGGGGAGACCAAAGCUCACCUGCUUUCUUCAGUCGUCGAUCUAGAAACCUUUAUAACCAACAAAGUGGGUAGCGCAUAAUGUGGAUCAGGAUAUAGUAUGGGUCCCUCUGAGCUGGAUGCAAUUCUUUCAAAGCUGUGAGGAGUCUUGGCAGGUGCUACAGAGGGUGAGCUCUGGACACUAAUCCCCAGUGUACAGCUCCAGCUUCCAGUGAUGAAACUCCGGUUGCCAGGCAACCUCGUUCCUUUCCUGGUGCGGUGAUAAAACGCCAUGACCAAGACAACUUAUGAAAGGGUUUUUGGGAGUGAAGGCUCUGCAGGGACAAGAGUCGCUCCCAUCCCAGUGGGAAAGUGUGGCGGGAACAGCUAAGUGCUCACACCUUUAACUGCAAGCAGGAAACAGAGUGAAUGGAACUAGUCAUUUGGAACCUCAAAACCCGUCCCCAUUAGCACACUCUCUCUGGCAAGGCCUUAUCUGUUAAGCCUCCUCCAAACGGCCACCAACUGAGAACUAAGCAUUCAAGUGCCUGGACUAUGGGGGGCAUCUCACUGGCUGGCCACUGCCACUCUUGUCACUGACCUGGGUCCCUCUUGGCCUUUUCCACAAUAAAUUUGUUCUCACUGA